UAUCUGUAAUUUACACAUGGGCAGAUGAGGCCCAGAGAUUAAGUAACUUGCCCAGGGUCACAUGGGAAGCCUAUGCCAGAAAUGGAACAUGAGAUCUCACAAGUCCCAGUCUAGGUGAUAAUUCUCUUCUUGAAGAAGCCAAACAUUAUUACAGUGGUUUGACAGCCUUCAGCUAGUGGAACCAUGAUGGCACUGCUGCUUUCGGGACCUUGUACAUCCAACAAAGGAUGGAAGAACUGGCUCCUUGUUGAUAAAAUUCAAAGCACCUGAGUCAAGGAAAAUGUGCAGCGCCUUCUGGUUGUGGAAAAACAGCUUGCAGAUGACAAACAAAGACACUUGGUUGAUAUUCAUGAAAGACCCCAUGGACUUAAAGUCAUCAGGCCCUACAAAGUUGUUGUGACAGGGUUUCUUUAGCACGUUCUUGUUUAAAUUAUCACGUAUUUGAGAUGUUUUUAACUUGCUUUGCUGUGUGGAAAUUUAAAAGGGAUGUUUUUCCAGGCUGGAACAAUAAAUGUUGCUGUGCUGUUUUAAAAAAAAAUAAAAAGAAAGUGUGAGACUUCCACCCAGGAUAGCUAGACAAGAGUCUGGCAGCUCUCCUCAUGUGGGCUAGUGUGGAUGCUAAUUGUGAGUUGGUUGGCUGUCACUCAGGAAUUGCUUUCAGUCGAGUGAUCCACUCUGAGCCAUUGAUUCAGAAAGACAAGACCAACCCAGCUUCCCCCAAAGCAGUGCGAUUGGGGGCUGCCAUUGCUUUACCGCAGGGACAGAUAAUACUCAUUCUUCUCCAAGUCCAAGUACGUUGCAUGACUUGGAAAGUCGUGUGGUCUUGUUAAACAUUAGAGAAUCUGUUCCCCACCCCUUCCGCCCAAAGCUGGGCCUUGGUAAUGGCUACAGAAGGAUUGUGGGUAUCUUUCUGGAAGAGCCGUAACUGUGAACUGUCCCCAUUCACUUACAUUAGGGGUGGAUGUAUAUUUUAUUUCCUUGUAACAGAAGUACU